GGUUGCAGUUUAAGUUCUUAUACU
rnacentral:siRNA from 1 species